GCCAGUGUGGGGUAGUGGUUUGAGUGUUUGACUGUGAUUCUGUUAAUCAGGGUUCAAAUCCCUGUUUGGCC